GCGACUUAUAUUCUGUAGCAAGGUUAACCGAAUAGGGGAGCCGAAGGGAAACCGAGUCUUAACUGGGCGUUAAGUUGCAGGGUAUAGACCCGAAACCCGGUGAUCUAGCCAUGGGCAGGUUGAAGGUUGGGUAACACUAACUGGAGGACCGAACCGACUAAUGUUGAAAAAUUAGCGGAUGACUUGUGGCUGGGGGUGAAAGGCCAAUCAAACCGGGAGAUAGCUGGUUCUCCCCGAAAGCUAUUUAGGUAGCGCCUCGUGAAUUCAUCUCCGGGGGUAGAGCACUGUUUCGGCAAGGGGGUCAUCCCGACUUACCAACCCGAUGCAAACUGCGAAUACCGGAGAAUGUUAUCACGGGAGACACACGGCGGGUGCUAACGUCCGUCGUGAAGAGGGAAACAACCCAGACCGCCAGCUAAGGUCCCAAAGUCAUGGUUAAGUGGGAAACGAUGUGGGAAGGCCCAGACAGCCAGGAUGUUGGCUUAGAAGCAGCCAUCAUUUAAAGAAAGCGUAAUAGCUCACUGGUCGAGUCGGCCUGCGCGGAAGAUGUAACGGGGCUAAACCAUGCAC
rnacentral:rRNA from 1 species